UACGAAGGGGGCUAGCGUUGUUCGGAAUUACUGGGCGUAAAGGGCUCGUAGGCGGCCAACUAAGUCAGACGUGAAAUCCCUCGGCUUAACCGGGGAACUGCGUCUGAUACUGGAUGGCUCGAGUUUGGGAGAGGGAUGCGGAAUUCCAGGUGAGCGGUGAAUGCGCAGAGUAUCAGGAGGAACACCAAUGGCGAAGGCAGCUCGCUGGGACGGUACUGACGCUGGAGACGCGAAAGCGUGGGAGCAAACAGG
rnacentral:rRNA from 1 species